UAAAAAUUUGACAAUUGGCAUAAACUUGCAAAAAUAUAAUUUUGAAAAAAAAACUGUUUUCCAUUUUAAUUUUCCAUAAACUCAAGUAACGUUUCCUAAAAUUGCUCACCCUUUCACCACUAAGUUCAAUCAUGUUUUAAAAGUUAAAACUGUUUUUCUUUUAUAAACACUAGAUCUUUUAUCCGCGCUACGCGCGGAUUGUUUGGUAUAA
rnacentral:lncRNA from 1 species